rnacentral:rRNA from 1 species
UACAGAGGUCUCAAGCGUUGUUCGGAUUCAUUGGGCGUAAAGGGCGCGUAGGUGGCCCGGUCAGUUCGUGGUGAAAGCGCGGGGCUCAACCCUGCGUCGGCCAUGAAUACUGCCGCGGCUGGAGCACUGUAGAGGCAGGCGGAAUUCCGGGUGUAGCGGUGGAAUGCGUAGAGAUCCGGAAGAACACCGGUGGCGAAGGCGGCCUGCUGGGCAGUGCUGACACUGAGGCGCGACAGCGUGGGGAGCAACA